rnacentral:rRNA from 1 species
GAUGAACGCUGGCGGCGUGCCUAAUACAUGCAAGUCGAGCGAACAGAUGAUGAGCUUGCUCCUCUGACGUUAGCGGCGGACGUGUGAGUAACACGUGUAUAACCUACCUAUAAGACUGGGAUAACUUCGGGAAACCGGAGCUAAUACCGGAUAAUAUAUUGCACCGCAUGGUUCAAUAGUGAAAGUCGGUUUUGCUGUCACUUAUAGAUGGAUCCGCGCCGCAUUAGCUAGUUGGUAAGGUAACGGCUUACCAAGGCGACGAUGCGUAGCCGACCUGAGAGGGUGAUAGGCCACACUGGAACUGAGACACGGUCCAGACGCCUACGGGAGGCAGCAGUAGGGAAUCGGCCGCAAUGGGCGAGAGCAUGACGGAGCAACGCCGCGUGAGUGAUGAAGGUCUUCGGAUCGUAAAACUCUGUUAUGAGGGAAGAACAAAUGUGUAAGUAACUAUGCACGUCUUGACGGUACCUAAUCAGAAAGCCACGGCUAACUACGUG